rnacentral:rRNA from 1 species
GACAGGAGGUGCCAAGCGUUAGGCGGGAAUCACAUGGGCUUAAAGCGUGUGUAGGCGGAUGUCUAAGUAACCUUGUGAAAUCCCACGGCUCAACCGUGGAACUGCUUGGUAUACUGGAUGUCUUGAGCCAUCGUAGGGCUACCGGAACAAAUGGUGGAGCGGUGAAAUGCGUAGAUAUCAUUGGAACGCCAAUGGUGAAAACAGGUAGCUGGGGAGUGUGCUGACGCUGAGACACGAAAGCCAGGGAGGCAAACGGG